AGAAACCUUGUCAAAGUCGACCACAACUGGAACCAGUGGAGCUUCAGCAGAUCCACAAGGAGACCCAAAUUCAACAGUAAAACCAGAAACCUUGUCAAAGUCGACCACAACUGGAACCAGUGGAGCUUCAGCAGAUCCACAAGGUCUGAGCAGAAAUCUGGCCGUCUCUCUGGGAUUAGCAGCACUUGUCAUUUGUGUUGUGACGGUUAACAUGUGGGCCAGAAUUAAAGAACAACAGAUUCAACGAGAUGGAACCACAACUCGGCGUGAAGAAGACGAGGCUGCAGUGACGUACGAGAACCUGGGAGAGCCGUCUGUUUCUGUCCGACUCCACUGAGCGACAACACCAGUCCACUGCUGCUGAGUCAGCACUUUCACUGUUUUCUCUAAAUUCAGG